GUUUUCUAAGAGCUGAAGGCCUCAUGACCUGGUAUAUUUCAUUGCUGUAGCCAGCCAAGAAGUGAUAAAGGCACAGUGGGUUGCUGAAAUCACUACUGUGGAGGGCCACUGCACUUCCCACACAUGAGCACCUAAUGGACUGGUUCUGUAAGUAUUACUACACUUCAGUAGUGGAACUGGAAAUCUACCUCUGAGAAAAAGCACCAAAAAGCUUGCUCUGCACUACACAAAACUCCAUAUCAGAAGAUAUUGGGACAGUUUCCCUUCUGUGCCCAGCUUCCUGGCAGCAACAUGAGGAAGGAAGCUUAGGGGACUCCCCAUUUCUUUGCCCCAGCCCAGACCCCAGUAUCAAGGAUAAGUUGAAAUAAAGGCAGUGAGAGCGCCCAUCAGCAUGAGACAAAUCCAGACCUGUGACCUGAGGAAGAGCUCUGG